GAUGAACGCUGGCGGCAUGCCUAAUACAUGCAAGUCGAACGAGACCUUCGGGUCUUUUCGCGCCUGGUGUCGUCGCGGGUGGGAACCUUCACACGUGUUCAGCCUACCUCUCCGACAGGGGUACUAACACGGGAUAAUGUCUUCUGCCCAAAGAUUUAUUGCCUUUGGUUGGGCCCGCGUUGGAUUAGCUCGUUCGUACGCUAAAAGAAUACCACGGCGAGGAUCCAUAGCUGGGAUGAGAGGAUGAUCAGCCACACUGGGAGUGAGACACGGCCCAGACUCCUACGGGAGGGAGCAGUGGGGAAUAUUGGAAAAUGGGCGAAAGGCUGAUCCAGCAAUGACGGGUGAGCGCUGAAGGCAUUAGAGUUGUAAAGCUCUAGUACCCGGGAUGAUAAUGACAGUACCGGGAGAAUAAGCCACGGCUAACUACGUG
rnacentral:rRNA from 1 species